UACGUAGGGUGCGAGCGUUAAUCGGAAUUACUGGGCGUAAAGCGUGCGCAGGCGGUGAUGUAAGACAGGUGUGAAAUCCCCGGGCUUAACCUGGGAACUGCAUUUGUGACUGCUUUGCUGGAGUGCGGCAGAGGGGGAUGGAAUUCCGCGUGUAGCAGUGAAAUGCGUAGAUAUGCGGAGGAACACCGAUGGCGAAGGCAAUCCCCUGGGCCUGCACUGACGCUCAUGCACGAAAGCGUGGGGAGCAAACAGG
rnacentral:rRNA from 1 species